rnacentral:tRNA from 1 species
GGAUGGAUGUCUGAGCGGUUGAAAGAGUCGGUCUUGAAAACCGAAGUAUUGAUAGGAAUACCGGGGGUUCGAAUCCCUCUCCAUCC